rnacentral:lncRNA from 1 species
GUUUCUCUGGAAGUGCUGGGGAGGGAGCGCCCCCUCCCUGAGGGGGAGCAUCCGAUGCGGCAUUCCUGGGGUGGGGCGCCCAGAUGUGGUGUUCCUCGCAUGGAGUUCCCAGGUGGGAUAUUGCUAGUGUGCCGUUCUUGGCAUGGAUCUGCCAGGUGUGGUGUUCCUGGAGUGGAGUUACCAGAUGUGGUGUUUCUGGCGUGGUGUUCCUGGCAUGGAGUUCCCAGGCAUGGCACUCCCAGCCAUGGCACCCCUGGCACGGUGCUCCCAGCUGGCACGUGUCCUUCAGGAUCCAGGCUGCACACAGGCGAGAGGCCCAGCUCUUCCUAGAUGCCCGUCAGAUGCCCCCUAUCUUCCCUGUCCUGGGGACGUGGCAUCCCACCGCCCCCCUUUCCCCCUGAUGUUCAUACGCCAAUGUCGCUUUGGUUUUCCUGCAGUUUGCUCCUUGGUGGGAGUGGCCUCGUUUGUUUCUCGUUGUGGAGCAGCCCAAAAUGUUCAAACGAUCCAAAAAUUCCAAAAAGCAUCGGCCCUACAUGUACUUUUCUCUCCUGGUCCCUUGGGGCGGGGUCUCUGCGCUCCUGUUGUGGUUGACAAACCCAUCCAGAUGCUGGACUCCUCCCUUGAAGUGCAGAGUCUGUGGAAGGCCACCAGCAGUUCUGGGGCCCGCCCUCGGGGGCUCGGUGCAGCCCUGGAUCACAGACUGGGCACACAAGCCUGUGGGUGUGGCCACAGCACAGAGGCUUUUCAGCCUCUUAUGGGGUCUCUUGGAGCUAUUUCAGAAGCACCUGGACACAUACAGCUGGGCAGAGACGCUCCUGAGUUCAUCUGCCGCGCCCUCGACUCUACCUGGCCGCUGGCUCACAGCCUGGUGCUUAAGCCACCCACCUGAUCCACAGCUGGUGGUCUGGAGCCCUGCCCCUUUCUCUAAGCCCCGCCCCCCGGAAUGGACCGGUGUCAGCGCAGAAGCCAGAGGCCAGACAGGACCGAUGAGAAAGAGGCUGCCAGCACUUCCCCAAUCUCUGCUGCCCACUCCUGCUCGUCAGGUUCUGCAAGAUCCCCGUGGAGCGUGAGUGCCCGGCCUGGUAGAGGCUGGGGGGAGACCUGGAGGGACUGGGGGCGGGGCUCCCU